AUUGAUCCCUAUAUAUAUCGCGCAAAAUAAUCAUCACUGUCGAGUUUUGCCGAAGCCUGUGCCUUUGAAGAGUAAGCGCUGGCAGGAUAGACCAAUUUUAUCAUCUUCUUCUUGAUAAUCCAAACAAGUAAGCCAACAUAUGAAUAUAUAAAUUCGCAUACCUUGUUCAAGCCAUCCAAUUACACUUCAUUAAUUCUCUUCACAUGCGUGCAGGUUUAACAUUUUUUUUUUAAUUAUUCUCAUAUACUGACAAUUAUCUGCACUCUAUACUUCCACGCAUCGGCCUUCAAUCAUGACAAUAUAGACAUGCCAUGCAAAUCUCCAUUCAUGCCAUACGCAUCAAGUCUCCAUUCACUGUUCCUUUUCCGUUUUCAUCAUUUUUUUUUUCGUUCCACUUAUUUUAUUUAUCCAUCUCAUGCUUAUUUCAUGCACUUCUAAUCUGCUAUUUUUUUAUAUAUUUUUUUAAGCUCCUCAACAAUUGCGAUUCUCUCAACUUCAAGCUUCAAAUUUUUAUACCUCUUCAAAAUUUGGAUAUUUACUGCCUCUCUUCUAUCACAAUGGUCGUCUUCUAGGAGUAUUCUACCUCACCUACUAAUUCCAACAUCAUUAUUUUGAAUAAUGAGAAUGAAGAUUUGCAAGAAGAUAAUACCCUUAAUGUCUACAUGGCUACUAUUGGUUCUUUUGCUGCUACAUGGCCUACCUCUUAUGGUUACCUCAUCUACCAUGUUGGAGUUUGGAAACAUCAUGUGAGAUCUUUGACUAAAAUCUUUCUACCAUAGUGACUUCCAAGGGUAUCUUUACUACAAUUUUCAUUGCAUUUUGAUGAACUUUUUGCUGAUGAUGUACUACUAUUAUGACAUCGUAUCUGUGAGGGAAAAGUCUCAUGGGAGUUAUUUUCUACCCUUUUAGGAGAGUCUUGCUACAUAGAAGGCUAUUGGGAAUGGGUUGAAUAUGUGUUAGCAAGCAAUGAGCAAUUUCUGAAAGACUAACGACUCUACAAUGCCAUCUAUGCUUCACUCUUCACUUAUGAUUGUCAUCCAAGUGUGCUGCAAGACUUUUGUAAGUAUUGGAAUCCUUCAACAAAUACCCUUCGCACAAUUAGUGGGGAAGAGUCCAUAUCACUUUGGAACUUAAAGGUGCUGGGUGGUCUUCCUAUUUAUGGCUCUUUUUAUGAUGAGGUCAUCCCUUCAGCUGAAGAAUUGACAGGUUUUGAUCAAAGUCGUAAGCCAUAUCUAGUUUACAGUUGUAAAUAUUUAUUUCUUGCCUUCCACAACAACUGUCACAAGGUUGGUGAUUACUAUGAGAUGAAAAUCACAGAUUGGAUAAAGUUCUGGUUUUGUGGGGUCCAAAGAUAUGUAGAACCUCCUAAGCUAAAUGGCCAGAAAAGGGUGAGUUGCCCUAGAAGAACCUUCAACCCUUCAGGAAUCAUUGAUAAGAGGUCUCUUUGUACUGAGGGGUGGAGCAAGCCACUUUUUGAACUUCGGGUUAGUGUGGAAGCUCGAGAGGAAGUUUGUCGAACCACUUUCCUUGCUUGUUGGCUAUGUAAGUUUAUACUUCUUGGUAAGGAUGCUGACCUUAUUCGCCCUAGCACUUUCAAGGUAACAAGCAUGAUGGCGACAGAUAGGUGUUUCAAUUUAGCAGUUCCAGUGUUAGCAAGCAUCUAUAAUGGCUUGAGGGAGAUUUCUACCUCUUCUGACUUGAGUACUUGUGUUGCUACUUUCCCUGUUCAUUAGGUUUAUGGAUGGCUUGCUAAUAAUUUUGGGACCCAUUACACUUCUAAAUGGGAUUCCUAUCCCAAGUUGACAAUCUAUACAGGCGAAAGAAUGGCAAGAUACUUUGCAAAUCCAGAUGCUUAUAAUCUUCUUAAGAAUGUUCACAAAUGAAUUGGACCCUCAUUGCCCUCUCUUGAUAGAGGGUUGACUUUGCUUGAUAACAAGGAUUUAUCCUUUACUCGUGGUGAGUACAUUGUGAGCCUCAGAUCGAGCUAAAUGCCUUUGCACUGCAAUGACACCUAUCUGUGUGAGUUGUAUUGUCCACAUCAGUUUAGUAGACAAUUUGGCUUUUGUCAAGAUAUUCCUGGUGAGUUGAAGAGAAACUUUGAGAGUUUAGCCUUGUAGGAUGUAAUUCAACUUUGGUAGUCAUGUACCAAACUUUGUACUUUCGCCAGAGUCGAAUUGCCUGUGCCAUCAUUUAUGGGAGUUGCUUCUAUCACCAAAGAGUACUUGAAUUGGUAGUCCACAAAAUGGUCUAAAGCUUUUCCAGAAGAUCCUAAGAUUACCCUUAAGCUGGUUCGUUUGGGUCAACAGGGGUCUUCUAAGGCCAUAACUAAUACUCCUCAAGUUGACAAUUCUAAGGUGAGCAAAAACUCCAGUUGUGGAGCUAAGAGGGAUGUAGCUUCAAAAGAACAUGUACUACCAUCAAAUCCCAAGAGGAAACUUCUCUUAAGGUUCCCUAGAGCUGUGGAAGAAGUCGUAGUGUCACUUUCACUUAAGCUUACAAAAGAAACUAUGCACACUCCACAAGUUGAAGGGACGUAAAGGCAGAUUGACCCAGCACUUAGUGUUGUAGAUUUGGAGAGUGACCAGGAGGCUGACUCCGAUCAUCAUUGGAAACAACCUUCAAAGAAGUCCAAACUAAUAAUUCAUUGUAAUUCCCAUACUCUUCAAGGUGUCCCUAGUGCUUCAAUGAUUCACACUAAAUGACUUAGUA
rnacentral:misc_RNA from 1 species